rnacentral:rRNA from 1 species
CAGUAGCCGCGGGAAUACAGAGGGUGCGAGCGUUAAUCGGAUUUACUGGGCGUAAAGCGUGCGUAGGCGGCUUUUUAAGUCGGAUGUGAAAUCCCUGAGCUUAACUUAGGAAUUGCAUUCGAUACUGGGAAGCUAGAGUAUGGGAGAGGAUGGUAGAAUUCCAGGUGUAGCGGUGAAAUGCGUAGAGAUCUGGAGGAAUACCGAUGGCGAAGGCAGCCAUCUGGCCUAAUACUGACGCUGAGGUACGAAAGCAUGGGGAGCAAACAGGAUUAGAUACCCCGGUAGUCCCUGUCUCUUAUAA